rnacentral:rRNA from 1 species
CAAAUUUAAAAUCUACCUGGUUUYCAGGUCGAGUUGUAAUUUGAAGAUACGUUUUUGACGUUCCGGGUUGAACUAAAUCCUUUGGGAUAAGGUAUCAUGGAGGGUGAGAAUCCCGUAUAUACCAACCRUAGGGAUGUUAUUUAAUACGUUUCUAAGAGUCGAGUUGUUUGGGAAUGCAGCUCUAAAUGGGUGGUAAAUUUCACCUAAUGCUAAAUAUAAGCGAGAGACCGAUAGCGAACAAGUACMGUGAUGGAAAGAUGAAAAGAACUUUGAAAAGAGAGUUAAAUAGUAYGUGAAAUUGUUGAAAGGGAAACGAUUGAAGUCMGUCMUGCCRGUGGGAAUCMACUUWGAGGAAACUCUGAGUGCACUUYUUCGCUUGGCAGGUCAACGUYGAUUUUGGAUGUCAUAAAAUGAUUGGGGGAAGGUAGCYCYYUCGGGAGUGUUAUAGCCCUUGGUAGAUGUGAUGUCUGGGAUCGAGGAUUGCAAUGGAUACCCUUUGGGGCUAGCCGCCUGAUCUCUAAUYGGUAUUGGGUUACGGAUAGCAUGCUGACCGUGAUCUAAUUAUUGGUUAAAAGGUUAG